rnacentral:rRNA from 1 species
GUAGGUGGCAAGCGUUGUCCGGAAUUAUUGGGCGUAAAGCGCGCGCAGGCGGUUCUUUAAGUCUGAUGUGAAAGCCCACGGCUCAACCGUGGAGGGUCAUUGGAAACUGGAGAACUUGAGUACAGAAGAGGAAAGCGGAAUUCCACGUGUAGCGGUGAAAUGCGUAGAGAUGUGGAGGAACACCAGUGGCGAAGGCGGCUUUCUGGUCUGUAACUGACGCUGAGGCGCGAAAGCGUGGGGUAGCAAACAGGAUUAGAUACCCUGGUAGUCCACGCCGUAAACCGAUGAGUGCUAAGUGUUAGGGGGGUUUUCCGCCCCCCUUAGUGCUGCAGCUAACGCAUUAAGCACUCCGCCUGGGAGUACGGCCGCAAGGCUG